rnacentral:hammerhead_ribozyme from 1 species
AUUGACGAGUCCCAAAUAAGACGAAACCCGGGUCCUGGAU